UCCCCACGCUCUCUGCCUGUAAAGAGCAUCUGCAAAGAAGUAUUUCCCCUCCCUCUCUGUGCCUUUCCUUUGGCUGACUUUCACCUCCUUGUGCUCUGGCUCUCUCCAGCAUUUUUGACACCUGCGGUUGCAAACAGCAAAGGAGGGUCUGAGCCCCACAGAGGUGAGGGGCAAUGGAGAAGAGUAGGAAAGAUUCUGAGUAAUGCUCCUCGUAUGCAUUUUCAUUGACAGCAGCAAUUUACCACAGAAUGGCAUUAAUUAAUAUGAUGGCCUGUUGAGCAGCCUGUAUAACGGAUGAGACAACAGGCAUUGGUGGUUGCUGCCCUCAGAUGGUUUCAUGUUUGUCCAGGCAAAAGCAAUGAUGGCUGUAAUUUAAAAAAAUGUUGUCUCCUCGUCUUAAUCUCAAAAGUGGGUGACCAAACGGAGAAAAAUUAUUUAUUAGUGCAUGGCUUUCAAAACAAUAGCUGAGGCACUGCUGUCUGUCAGUCAGGUGCUGGUACAGAAAGCUGAAUACCCCACAGAUAAAGCGAUUCGGGAAGCAGCAAAGAUGAAGAAGUUGUGACAAAGCAGAGAAACCAUUUUCCCUGAACAUGAGAGUUUCUGCACAUCCCAAGGAAGGAGCCAGAGUGGUGCCUGCUCAGCUGAUGAAAGGCAGACAGGGACAGAGGAGAAAGGGCAGAAACAGCACAGACAAAUUAAAUUCCCUGAGUCUGUCUGGGCUGCGUGCAUCUCUGACAGCAAACCAUAAAAUAUAAAGAAUAAGGAUCCUUAUCCUGGCUAGAGUCCAAGCCGACAGCAUUGCAGUAACAGCAUGAACCCAUUUCUGCUUUAGUAAAAUAUUAGCUACACUUUGAAGUGAAAACAGGACAAUAGAUCAUCAAGGUCAGACAGUGGUUGUUCACAUUACCCUACAGACACCGAGUUUUCAUCAAGAAUGAAAGCCCAAUAGCCAAAUUAUUCCUGCAUCAUGGACCUCCCUGGAAUAUGAGCUGAGACGAUUUUGGCUCAGGACAAGCAGGAGGGCAACAGGUUGGCUGGUAUUUAUUUCUGUGUUGCCCCUCCCAGCCCCACAGUUGGGUUUGCAGGGCUGUUCUCCCUCCAGCACUGCAAUCGCUAUCACAGGAGCUCAGAUACCCGGCUCUAGCUCAUCUGCCCCAGACACUGGGCUGCAUUCCCUCUGUAGCAUGUUAGGAAGGGGCUCGGGUGCUGCAAGAAGCAGAGGGGCCAGGACAGGUCUGCUCCUGCCUGCACUUGCUGGAAGUGAGUGGAUGAUUCUGGUGCAAUAGGAAAGGCGUGCACUCGGAAAGUGUCCCCAGGGGCUGAGCAGUAAUAAAGCUGCAGGAGAAUGCUAAGGUUUCGAAACUUCCAAGAGGAGAAAACCCCACUUUCUCUCCCUUCGCCAAGCAGCUUCCUCCUCCACCUGCCUGCAGGCAUCCUUUCCUCAGCACUGCUCCUCCUGCACGAUGCUGCCCCUGCACGGGAGUGAGAUGCUGAGCUCCCGCAGAGUAGUGAAGGAGGCAAAGAGAGUGUGGGUGCAGCAUCUUCCCCACCAGCUCUGACCAUGACUGUGUGCUCUGCUUCCAGCUGCUGCCCCCUUGCUCCUGCACCUCAGUGCAUGAGGGGCCCAUCCUUCACUUACUGCAUGCCUUUGCAAGGGGUGCGAAGUGCACAUGACCCUCUGUGUAGGCUACAAAGUCAAUGAAAUUGGAUAAAUAAUGGUAAUUGUCACAGCACAGGCUGAGGAUGUGCAACAGAACCCAGCUCCUGCCCCAGGCUGUAGUCCAAAGCCCACCCUGAUCAAUGGAGAGGUCCUCACGGACAUCACCAAGCAGCCCCAGCUCCUUCACCAGUUAGUGACACCGCUGAUUUCCUUCGGUUAGUGAGGAGCUGUGUGUCACCACUUCAUUCAUAAGAUUUUCUCAUUAAUAGAAGGUUGUGGAACAUGGAAGAUAUCUGUCAUCCUUCAAUGGCUGACUUCGAGGUGCUGAUGUUGAAAGAUCAGCUUCCAUGAGCACUGACAGCAGGGAGAGCCAUGUGUUCACCCAUUCACACCCCGGCACCAAGGCAAAUGUCACACUGCAAAAACCUAGUAACGGGAAAGGAAAUUAAGGGAAGAAAGGCCCUGAACAGCAUAAGCAAAUAUUUGAGCAAGGUUAGUGAGCAAUUAAGGAGCUCUUUGCAAGUGAAUCACCAAAUCCUGCUCAGCAAGAAGAACGUGCACAUGCACUGCAGGGAAAUGCUGACGAGUGUUUGGGUCUCAGGUCGCAGUCAAGUCUCAAGACUGGAUGGUCUGGGGAACAGACGAGGGCUCUCCUCCUCCUCCUCCUCCUUUGCAUUGCUUCCUUUUUCUGGCACUGGAUGUGGCAGACACUGGCCUCAUGCAGGGAUGCUGGCGUGAUCCAGGAGUCUUUGGCCAGGUGCCGCCUGCAAUGGGUGAAGCCGAAGCAGGAGCUGGCUCCUCCUUGAGGGCACAAGGAGCUCAUUCUGAAACAGCAACAGGCUGUGAAGGAGCCUCCCGGAGGCACCCAGAUGGUAGCACCCUCCCUGCCUUUAUCCACUCACGCAUGGGCUUCUGCCCUGGCCAGACCCCCCCAGGCUGAUCGCUCCCGAACGCAGGGGAAUACACACGUCUGCUUUCAUUUGAAAAUAUACGAAAGAAGAGUUCCUAAGCCUCGUACUUGCUGACAACUCCUACAAAUAGAAAUAACCCAACAUUA